rnacentral:rRNA from 1 species
GAGUUUGAUCGUGGCUCAGGACGAACGCUGGCGGCGUGCUUAACACAUGCAAGUCGAACGGUGAAGCCCUUCGGGGUGGAUCAGUGGCGAACGGGUGAGUAACACGUGAGCAACCUGCCCCUGGCUCUGGGAUAACCAUCGGAAACGGUGGCUAAUACUGGAUACGACCCACGAUCGCAUGGUGUGUGGGUGGAAAGUUUUUCGGCUGGAGAUGGGCUCGCGGCCUAUCAGCUUGUUGGUGGGGUGAUGGCCUACCAAGGCGACGACGGGUAGCCGGCCUGAGAGGGCGAUCGGCCACACUGGGACUGAGACACGGCCCAGACUCCUACGGGGGCAGCAGUGGGGAAUAUUGCGCAAUGGGCGAAAGCCUGACGCAGCGACGCCGCGUGAGGGAUGACGGCCUCGGUU